GGGAGGCGAACCAGGCACAAGGCCGGGGCAACUCGAUCGCGCCAUGAACGGUCACGUGGGCAACUUCCGGCCUUUGGUGACCUCGCCGUAAAAUGGCGGCGGCGGGCUGCGCUGGAGCUGCUGCGAUACGCCUAAGAUGGAGCAGGUUUUCCUUCUCAAAAGACGGCACACAAUUGGCAGGGUUCCCACCUCUCGCUAUCCUGGGGUUGUAGCUGCCAUUCUGCCACCAACCGACUGCGAGUAUAGAAUUUAGAGGGAGUCGGAUCUAGAGAUGGUGGGAUGCCCUCAUUUCUCUCCUGGAGCCUUGUUGCCCCAGAACUUUUGAAAUCCCCACUCCCCAAAAAUGGGGAAAAUUGAGAAUGGGCAAAAUCCAUUGUGGGUGUUUUGGUCCAGCUUGGCAUUUGAUAUGCUGAAAGAUAGCUUAGUAAUUUGAAAUCGCAUGUCCCAACGAAUCGAUGAUUGGUUGCAAAACAUGAAGAAAGUUUAGGGAGUUUGCUGAUGUUUGCGAUUUAUGGUGCGCUGCAGUGAUUACGAAGAGGCCGCCGUGGACCGCCGAAAGACACUCAUGAAUUCUGAAGUUUGGACAAGGUUUUUGCAUUUGCUUGGAGGGAUGGCUUGUAGAAGACCAUGGAAGUGACUUCAAAAACAGUCAAAGGCUUUAAACCUCUCGCCUUUUCAAUAUUGCGGUCUAAUUGAUGGUGGAGGCCUCUUGCAGGUCCUGAAGUGCGAGAUUUAAUGAAAGAGCUUUUGUGGGAUCUGGUAGAAAUAUACAUUGCCUGCAAGUGAAGUGUCUUCUCAGGAAUUGCUGUCCUGUCGAGAUGUCAAGCAACGAUGGUUCGAUUUUACCCUGACUCAGAAUGAUACUAUUUAAGUUAUCCUUCCUGCUAUUUUAAAUAAAUAAACAAUCUACUGUGGAUCCUCUUUACCCCCCCUCAUUUAUCAAUUUUAACAUUAUCUGUUGAACACUAUGCUGAUCUUUGUAAGUGGUAUUUAUUUUUUGCUGCUGAAUAAGUAGUUUUCUGUAAAAUGAAAUUGUCUUGGACCAGUGUAAUCUAAGACACCAGAAUCGGCUGUUGAAUGUUGGAGGGUGAUGACAAAUCACUGAGGCACUAAGGCAGUGGCACUCAUUGCCAUCGAUGGGCUCCAAACUUCAUGAUUUGCUUUUAUUGCCUAUCAAUAUCUACUUUGCGUUGUUGACAGCCCUGCUGAAACCCAUUACCUUCCUUCUGUGGAUCUGAGUUUUAUGAUGAGCAGUAAUCAAAUUAGGAACAUCUUUCUGGUGUGUACUAAAGUGCAAGCUCAAAAUAAGAUUUUGUUCACUCAGCUCCUUGUGCUGCCUUGGCUUUCAUUACAGCAGCUAUAGUAUAUGGAGAACUGACAAGUAUGGGUUCCCUUGGUUGCCCUUGAUUGAAUCAAAGCCCAUGAAGAGGUCUGAGCUCUGAAGGGAAUCUUGUAGAACUAGCAAGCAAAGCUUGCGCCACCAGGAAGCCUGUAAUGUCGCCAAAUUAAUGGUUAUUCAUUUCUUAAAGAAAAUAAAAUC